AUUUGCAGGAGCCUCAUCCAUUGUAACAUCACCUCCGUAGUCAAGGCGGAAAGGUCUCAUCCUGAACAUUUCUUCUGGGAUAGCCCUGUUUCCUUGGCCUCUCUACUCCAUGUACUCAGCUUCCAAGGCGUUUGUGUGCGCAUUUUCCAAGGCCCUGCAAGAGGAAUAUAAAGCAAAAGAAGUCAUCAUCCAGGUGAGGUGGGCAGCUGUGGAGUCCUUGUCAUCAUCCAGGUGCUGACCCCAUAUGCUGUCUCGACUGCAAUGACAAAGUAUCUAAAUACCAAUGUGAUAACCAAGACUGCUGAUGAGUUUGUCAAAGAGUCAUUGAAUUAUGUCACAAUUGGAGGUGAAACCUGUGGCUGCCUUGCCCAUGAAAUCUUGGCGGGCUUUCUGAGCCUGAUCCCGGCCUGGGCCUUCUACAGCGGUGCCUUCCAAAGGCUGCUCCUGACACACUAUGUGGCAUACCUGAAGCUCAACACCAAGGUCAGGUAGCCGGGCGGUGAGGAGUCCAGCACAACCUUUUCCUCACCAGUCCCAUGCUGGCUGAAGAGGACCAGAGGAGCAGACCAGCACUUCAACCUAGUCCGCUGAAGAUGGAGGGGGCUGGGGUCACAGAGGCAUAGAAUACACAUUUUUUGCCACUUUA
rnacentral:sRNA from 1 species